UCUGGGAACAAUUUGAAAUGGUGACUCGAAAGAAUCGAAUCGUUAAAAUGAACCGUUCGAACGAACCGACUCAUUGAAGUGAAUCGCAGUCCCUGUCGUUAGAGAGCUUGCUGUAUUGUCUCGGUCGUGUCAGCUUGAUUCGCCUGCCAUUUGUCAGCGAUGUCAAGCGCAGGAUGUUUCAUCAGCCCAGACAGAGCAGGAGAGUGGAAUAAGAGCUUUAUGCGCUGAGGAGUGACGGACGUGGAGCGACGCUUCCUCAGAGAGGGCUUUCUUUGUUAUACAGUAUCUGCGAUUUCAUCCAGAGAUAUUAUCCCUGAAAGCUUAUGGAGGGAUCUCACAAAACAGGUCCAAAGAGGGGUGGAUGGAUGGAAAGAUGGAUAGAAGGAGAGCUGCCACAAGAGAGAGAUAAAGCUAUCUUUCCCUCUCCAUAAUUAACCAGGUUUCGGUAACAAGCCUUUGGGCUUUACUGUUGCCAUGGUGACCUCCCAUCCGCAGGUUUUUCAUCUGAGCCUCUGACAGUGUGUGGACUCUCUCCAUCUCAGCCGAUCACUCCCAUUUGAUUUGAACAAAUUCCCGCUUCUCUCCAUAUCUCCACACACACACACACACACACUCAAAGCCCCUCAGAGCACUUACUGCUUCCAGACACAUCAGUUUUGAGAGUUGGGCCUGAGAUCAGGCAGCUUUACUAACAUCCCUUCAUAUUACCAGCAGAUUUUACCAUACUAGGAUUCCACAAGCUCCAGUCUGGAUCCAGAACACCUGAGAAGAGAUGAUGCCAAUCCCUCAGAGGACCUCAGAUGAUGCUAACCCUGAAACAACAAACAGAACUACCACAUUUUGCUAUA